rnacentral:rRNA from 1 species
UAGGGAAUCUUCCGCAAUGGACGAAAGUCUGACGGAGCAACGCCGCGUGAGUGAUGAAGGUUUUCGGAUCGUAAAACUCUGUUGUUAGGGAAGAACAAGUAUCGGAGUAACUGCCGGUACCUUGACGGUACCUAACCAGAAAGCCACGGCUAACUACGUGCCAGCAGCCGCGGUAAUACGUAGGUGGCAAGCGUUGUCCGGAAUUAUUGGGCGUAAAGCGCGCGCAGGGGGUUCCUUAAGUCUGAUGUGAAAGCCCACGGCUCAACCGUGGGGUGUCAUUGGAAACUGGGGAACUUGAGUGCAGAAGAGGAAAGUGGAAUUCCAAGUGUGGCGGUGAAAUGCGUAGAGAUUUGGAGGAACACCAGUGGCGAAGGCGACUUUCUGGUCUGUAACUGACACUGAGGCGCGAAAGCGUGGGGAGCGAACAGG